AUUGAACGCUGGCGGAAUGCUUUACACAUGCAAGUCGAACGGCAGCACGGACUUCGGUCUGGUGGCGAGUGGCGAACGGGUGAGUAAUGUAUCGGAACGUGCCCAGUCGUGGGGGAUAACGUAGUGAAAAUUACGCUAAUACCGCAUACGAUCUAUGGAUGAAAGCGGGGGAUCGCAAGACCUCGCGCGAUUGGAGCGGCCGAUAUCAGAUUAGGUAGUUGGUGGGGUAAAGGCCCACCAAGCCAACGAUCUGUAGCUGGUCUGAGAGGACGACCAGCCACACUGGAACUGAGACACGGUCCAGACUCCUACGGGAGGCAGCAGUGGGGAAUUUUGGACAGUGGGCGAAAGCCUGAUCCAGCCAUUCCGCGUGCAGGAUGAGGGCCCUCGGGUUGUAAACUGCUUUUGUACAGAACGAAAAGGUUUCUACUAAUACUAGGAGCUCAUGACGGUACUGUAAGAAUAAGCACCGGCUAACUACGUGCCAGCCGCCGCAGUAA
rnacentral:rRNA from 1 species